GACGAACGCUGGCGGCGUGCUUAACACAUGCAAGUCGAACGAAGAGCGAUGGAAGCUUGCCUCUAUCAAUCUUAGUGGCGAACGGGUGAGUAACGCGUAAUCAACCUGCCCUUCAGAGGGGGACAACAGUUGGAAACGACUGCUAAUACCGCAUACGAUCUAAUCUCGGCAUCGAGGAUAGAUGAAAGGUGGCCUCUACAUGUAAGCUAUCACUGAAGGAGGGGAUUGCGUCUGAUUAGCUAGUUGGAGGGGUAACGGCCCACCAAGGCGAUGAUCAGUAGCCGGUCUGAGAGGAUGAACGGCCACAUUGGGACUGAGACACGGCCCAGACUCCUACGGGAGGCAGCAGUGGGGAAUCUUCCGCAAUGGACGAAAGUCUGACGGAGCAACGCCGCGUGAGCGAUGACGGCCUUCGGGUUGUAAAGCUCUGUUAAUCGGGACGAAAGGCCUUCUUGCGAAUAGUGAGAAGGAUUGACGGUACCGGAAUAGAAAGCCACGGCUAACUACGUG
rnacentral:rRNA from 1 species